GCUGAAUUGAAAGUCCACUGGUUGCCAUGCACUGUGUGUGGCAAAACUUGGGAUGAUACGUGGGAGCCUGCCAGUGAAUUCGCACAUUUUAUGCCUAAUUCCCCACAUCCCAACCAGCUUUCAGCAUGAUGUGUCGUGAGCCUAGUCAGCUGGACUUAAGCAGAUUUUUUCUUCUUUUUGUAUUCUUUUUAUUUUUUUUUUCUUGCUUUUGUUCAUUAAAGUUUUUUGCACAAUA